GACGGUCAUCAGUAUACGAACAGGGUUUCUAAUUCGGUACGUACACGUUCAUACUUGGUUAAACUUGACACUUUGACGCUUACCGAGUAAUUUAUUCAAUAUCAAACAAACUACCAUGCACGAUGAGCCUAUUGGCAUCAUUAAGAUCUCGAUUAUGCACGUUGUUUGGGGCUGAAGACCCUCCCCGCGUAAAUAAUCUAUUUUCCGACUGCGCCCGAGACGAGCGACUAGGCUACUAAGUACUAUUGAACUGCCUAGCGUGCCGGAAGCACGGCCGCUGCGUAGUAAGUUUAAAGACGGGAUAGUUAAAAGCUACCAUCCUAUCCCCGGAUGGUACCACCACUGCCCACUGCCUCUUAAUCCCAAGCUAAGGCCUCUCCCUCGGACUCUUUGCCGAUGGUGUAGGUUCCUUCCGUCGUCCGCGCGUUUAAUGGGUUAGGACUGUGCCCCUCCAUCACUGUUAUUUAUUGUUAUGGCCCGCGUAAUCACAGACCAUUAACCUUACUCAUGUUAGAUUUAGGGAAUUGCUCCUAGGCAGCCUCCCGUUCAGACCACGGUCGUGGGCGCCAUUAAGGUCGAGGUUAUCGCAUAUAAAUUCAACAACG
rnacentral:rRNA from 1 species